GCGCCCGUAGCUCAGCUGGAUAGAGUGCUUGACUACGAAUCAAGGGGUCGGAGGUUCGAAUCCUUCCGGGCGCACCA
rnacentral:tRNA from 2 species